GUGGGGAAUAUUGCACAAUGGGCGCAAGCCUGAUGCAGCCAUGCCGCGUGUGUGAAGAAGGCCUUCGGGUUGUAAAGCACUUUCAGCGGGGAGGAAGGCGAUAAGGUUAAUAACCUUGUCGAUUGACGUUACCCGCAGAAGAAGCACCGGCUAACUCCGUGCCAGCAGCCGCGGUAAUACGGAGGGUGCAAGCGUUAAUCGGAAUUACUGGGCGUAAAGCGCACGCAGGCGGUCUGUCAAGUCGGAUGUGAAAUCCCCGGGCUCAACCUGGGAACUGCAUUCGAAACUGGCAGGCUAGAGUCGUGUAGAGGGGGGUAGAAUUCCAGGUGUAGCGGUGAAAUGCGUAGAGAUCUGGAGGAAUAACGGUGGCGAAGGCGGCCCCCUGGACAAAGACUGACGCUCAGGUGCGAAAGCGUGGGGAGCAAACAGGAUUAGAAACCCGGGUAGUCC
rnacentral:rRNA from 1 species